rnacentral:rRNA from 1 species
CGGAGCACGCCGCGUGCGGGAGGAAGGCCUUAGGGUUGUAAACCGCUUUUAUCAGGGAAGAACACAAUGACGGUACCUGAUGAAUAAGCCUCGGCUAAUUCCGUGCCAGCAGCCGCGGUAAUACGGGAGAGGCGAGCGUUAUCCGGAAUUAUUGGGCGUAAAGCGUCCGCAGGUGGCCAAUUAAGUCUGUCGUUAAAUCGUGGAGCUCAACUCCAUACAAGCGAUGGAAACUGAUUGGCUAGAGUACGGUAGGGGUAGCGGGAAUUCCAGGUGUAGCGGUGAAAUGCGUAGAUAUCUGGAAGAACACCAGCGACGAAAGUGCGCUACUGGGCCUGUACUGACACUCAUGGACGAAAGCCAGGGGAGCGAAAGGGAUUAGAUACCCCUGUAGUCCUGGCCGUAAACGAUGAACACUAGGUGUUGCGCGAAUCGACCCGUGCAGUGCCGUAGCCGACGCGUUAAGUGUUCCGCCUGGGGAGUACGCACGCAAGUGUGAAACUCAAAGGAAUUGACGGGGGCCCGCACAAGCGGUGGAGUAUGUGGUUUAAUUCGAUGCAACGCGAAGAACCUUACCAAGGCUUGACAUCCCCCGAAUCUCUGGGAAACCGGAGAGUGCCUUCGGGAGCGGGGAGACAGGUGGUGCAUGGCUGUCGUCAGCUCGUGUCGUGAGAUGUUGGGUUAAGUCCCGCAACGAGCGCAACCCACGUCCUUAGUCGCCAUCAUUCAGUUGGGCACUU